ACUUAGAAAAUAAAGUUUGCACCCAAUGAAAUAUUUUUAUUUCUAGUUUCUAUGGGGCGUAGGCCUCCCCAAAGGUAACGGAGGCGUGCAAAGGUUUCCUCAGACCAGACAGAGAUUGGCCCUCGAGUGCAAAGGGAGAAGGGAGCUUGACUGCAAGACCCACUCGUCGAGCAGAAACGAAAGUCGGCCUUAGUGAUCCGAUGGUGUCGAGUGGAAGGGUUCCAAC
rnacentral:ncRNA from 1 species